CGGAUUCCGAGUUGACGGGCGCCGCCCCAACGAGAUGCGGCAGCUCAAGGGCGAGGUCGGCGUCGUCUCCAGGGCCGACGGCUCGGCGCUCUUCGAGAUGGGCAACACCAGGGUCAUCGCCGCCGUCUACGGGCCCCGAGAGGUAC